AUACGGAGGGUGCAAGCGUUGUCCGGAUUUAUUGGGUUUAAAGGGUGCGUAGGUGGUUUUUUAAGUCAGUGGUGAAAGCCUACAGCUUAACUGUAGAGGUGCCAUUGAAACUGGGGAACUUGAGUAUGAACGAGGUAGGCGGAAUUUGUGGUGUAGCGGUGAAAUGCAUAGAUACCACAAAGAACACCGAUAGCGAAGGCAGCUUACUAGGCCAUAACUGACACUGAGGCACGAAAGUGUGGGGAGCGAACAGAAUUAGAAACCCCGGUAGUCC
rnacentral:rRNA from 1 species